GUCUAGCAAGCGAAGCAAAGUGCUGAGUUGGAUUAGUUGGGUCUUCAUCCCCUGCAUCUGCUCUUCAAAGUUUUCAUGCUGAAACAAACAUGAGUGAUUUUUAAAAAAAAAAAAAAAUCUCCUAGACAACUACCAGUAAAACAUUUCAGACCCAAGAGUGCUAAAGAGAGAUGUGCUUAACGAACACACUGCAUUACCACUUCAUCCAUGAAGGAAACAAAGCACCAGAAGGCAUCCACUUCAUUCUCCAUCACGAAGAGAAUGGGAGAGAGCAGAUCACUCAUGCCCUGCACGUACCC